CCUGUGGAUCCAGAUGCAGAACUCUCAGUUACCUCUCCAGCACCACGUCUGCCUGCACACUGUCAUGCUCCUUACCGUGAGGAUAGUGGACUAAACAUCUGAACUGGCCUUUCCAUGAACAUGAAAUCCACAGAUUCUGCUAACCUGACUUAAGGAUUCACCUCUCUCCACCUCCCCUAUGCUGGGAUCACAAGACAUAAGCCACUGCCCCCAGCUGUAAAAAAAUGGGUGCCGGGGAGCUGAACUCAGGACUUCGUGCUUGUGGGACAAGCAUUUACCCAGUCUCCAGCCUCAAGAGCUGGAAUUUCCACAUUACUUUCCUUGGCUGCAAUAACUUGCUGGCUGUGUGGCCUUGAGUUAAACACUCAUCCUCUCUGGGCCAUAGUGCCCUCCGAAAACAAGGGACUAAUAAGGGCUUCCUUGCUGUCAUCAGGACUUAACUGAGUAUGCCUGGGAAAGAGCUUUGUAAAUAGUGUCAUUGUCUCCUUCCCUCCAGAGCUCUCAGGGUAGAGCCUGCAGCCUCAGUUGGAACUCAGUCAGGAAUCAACCCCCGUUGAUGAGAAAAACACCACCAGAAGUCACAAAAAAACAAAACAGUUUUCUUGCCAGAAGACAGAAGGGGAGAACGGCUGUUCCGAUGGCCGUGAACCUUCACCAAGUUCAGGUUCAGAGUGAAGUCUACCCCAAUACUAUUUGUUCACACCAUUUAUUCUCAAAACUAUUAUUUGACAGCAGAAGUCAUUUCCUCCAGACACUAUCAAGAGGGCCCCUGGCUAUCAUCUGCAUUCCUUUAGUCAAGAUUUCUUCUGCUGGAGCAGACAAUUCUAGGCAAAGUUGAGCCGACCUGCUUCUAUGGAUAUGACACCUGAAAGGCCAAGGCCAGAGAAGGUUCGCUGGAAGCCUGAAGAGGGAGGCAGCAGGCCAGUACUAAGAAAGCACAAAGGCCUGAAGACAGAGACAUUUAUUUCUGGCCCCAACUCAAAGCCAAGACCUUGGACGAGUCCUCUGUCCUCUAGGCAGAGGAGUGGCUUGUUUUCCCAUCUACAACACACAGGCUUCCUGGAUCCUCUCCCAAGGCCUUGCUAACUCUUCCUCAUGCUAUUCUGGGAGAGGUACAGUGUUGACAUGAUAGUUGUGAUUUAUCUGAGAGAGUUUUCAGAGAAAGGAAUCCAACAAGAACCUAGAGACUACAGACUAGGACAAAUGGGAAUAUUAGAAGCCCUGGCCAAAAGGGCAGAGAGACAGAGCUAGAGUGAUUGGUUUAUAGGGCAAAGUGAGGAAGAUGGCUCUGGGAUUCAGAUACAAGACACACCAAGAAGCGAAGGGAAGAGAAGUUGUCUGAACCCAGGCUCAGCAAGCCAGUGUCUCCCCUGAUGCAUACAAUCUAGGAGCAAAAUACAGAAGCCUGUUGUCUCCAAGCAAAGGGAAGGGAAUUAGUAAGGCUGUAACAGGGGCCAUUGUAUUGAUGGAUUGAUUGAUGGAUCAAUUGAUUGAUGAUUGAUUUGGGGGGGGUGCAUGUUCACAUGUAUGCAAGUACCUGUGGAGGCUGGUGGGUGAUAUUGAGUUACCUUCCUCAGGCCCUCAAUUGCUUCCCAUCUUUUUUUGAGACAGACUGUAUUAUUUGCUUUUCUGGUGCUGUGAUAACCAAAAGCAACUAAGAGGAGGAAAGGGUCUAGUUUAGCUCCCAGUUACAGAGAGACAGAAUCUCAUAGCAGAAAAGGCAUGGCAAAUGUAUCAGGAAGCCGGCUGAUCACAUUUUCAUCUACACAAAAGGAAGUGGGGUAAGACAAUAAAUUUAUCAAGCCCUGCCCCCCAGGGACAUACUUCCUCCAACAAGGUACCACCUCAAAAAGAUUCCAUAAUCUCCCCAAACAGCACCACCAACUGGGGACCAAGUUUUCAAAUAAAUGAGACUAUAUGGGACAUUUCUCCUUUAAACCAUCACAUAGGCUGUCUCACUGAACCUAGAGCUCACUGAUCCAGCUAGUCUGGCUAGUUAGCAAGUCUCAGUACUGGCAUUACAGAUGAACACCACUAUGCUGGGCUUUUUCCAUGGAUGCCAGGGAUUCAAGCCCAGGUCCUCAUGUUUGUACACCAAGCACUUUACUGAGUGAAGCAUCUUCCCAGCCCAAAGGGCCAUUUUUGAUUCUUGGCUGGGAUGGUAUGGCAAAAGGUGUGUAAGGGGUAUGUUUCAUCCUGAGUCUAGAGGUUUGAAAAAGUAGACUAGACAGAAGAGGGACCAUUAAAUACAUUUCAGAGGUUUGGAAAGGAUUAAGAGCGCCCAAAGUUCUGAAAAUCAUGUUUCUCACGUUUCCACAUCUCUAAGAUGAAGCCUGGGCCUCUAAAGAUCUUUCUCUCGCCCAUAAGCAAAACCAAGGAUCAUUUCACCCUCCCAGCACCCAAGUCCUCCCACCUUUCAGGAGUAGUCAAGACUCCCAGCUUGGUUCCAUACUAUUCUCAAGCCUCAGGGAGGAGCUGUCUCUGAGAGCCUGGGAGCCCACAGGUGAGGCCCAGCAGGAGGAGAAAAGAGACCUCCUGCUGUUAGCUCUCAGAGUCUUGGGCUGACUUCCCAAGCUGGCUUCCUGUACUUUGCUGCAGUUCUAACAUGUAGCCCCAAAAGACAGACAGAAGAAAGCUCAUUUUGGGGUUUCUCCUUAAUCCAGGAAUGAUGCCCACCAUGUCAUUGGGUCCAUUUGUUACCAGAAUUGUUGGGGUCGAGCCUGGACUGGCUACCCUAACAAGCUAGGAUCAACUAUCUGUCCUCAACAGGCCAAUUGUACAGACAAAUAGCAUUGAAAAGCAGAGGAGGGAAACACAUUUGACAAAACUGCAAUUGGGAAGAUAGGUGAUAAGGCGGCUCAGUGACCAACCUUGUCCAUCAUCAGAGUUUUAAUAAAUGGCUAUGGAUAUUGUAACUAAGGAAUCCAGGCUAUCCUGCUGACAAGAAGUCACCCUCUGGUGACAUCUUUUCCUGGCUGGCACCAGAAGUCAGCCUUUCCUUUCUCCAGCAUGAGAUUCCUGGGGAAAUUCCAAUUCCUGAAGUCCAUUGUUAAAGUAGUAUGAUAGCCAAAGCAAGAGGCACACACCUGUAAUCUCAGUACUUAGCAGAUAGAGAAAGGGAACUCCAAAGUUCAAGGUUAUCCUCAGCUACAGAGCAAGUUUGAGGCCAGCCUGGGCCACUUAAGACAACAUAACAAAGUAAAUAUGAGCUGGCUUACCUCAUUUUGAUCUUAAAGAAUUACCUUCUGUGAAUGACACUGGCAGGCAGUUUUAUCAAGAGCCAUGUUUAGACUUAGGGAUGAGCAAGCAAAGCUAGUACUGUAAAACUCACCCUGGCCCUCAGUCAGCACAGCUCGUUUGUUAUCUGUAACAUCCUUGUUUGACAGCCCUCUAGGAAAACAUGAAUCUUGCAGGGACUCUUGGCUGCAUUAUUUGUGUUGAAGUUUCUCAACCCUCUGGCACCACAGGAAAGGCAAAUCAGAAGUCCCAGUGAAGACUCUCAUGCCCCCUUAGUUUCUUGCCUUCCUAUCCUGCCACCAUUGAACAGGAACUUCCUUCCACAAUCCCAUCUCCUAGAUGGCGGCUAUUCUCCAGGUCCCCUCUUUUUAUUCUUUACAUCUGCUUGUGGUAAAAUGCAUACAUACAGCAUGGCAUUUAUCAUUGUAGAGCUGGUGAGAUGGUUCCUCAAGUAAAGACUCCAGCCGCCAAGCCUGAUGGCUGAGUUCAAUCCCAGGGCCCAUAUGAUGGAAGGAGACUAUCGCCUCCAUAAAGUGGUCCCCUGAAGGACACCACAACUGCAUAAGCAUAUCCCAACACACAGGCAAACAAUAAAUAAUAAACAAUG